AAGCGAGAAUCAUACCCCUAGACCAACGAGCCGUGCUUUUCGUUUCGCUUUGUAAGUAGAAUAGGAGGCGCCCUAGAGCCUGCGCAUUUGCGUCCCGGCUGAACAGGACCCACGCAAUGGCCUGUGCACUUUGGGCUCGCCUCCGGUAUCCGAUCCUGUAUCCGCACAGUGGGACACCGAGACUCGCUCUGUAGCCCGCGAGCCCUGGAUCUGGACGCAGGGAGAACGCAGCCAGUCCGCGCUGCAGCGGGGAAAUGUGCCUUUCUGCAGACGCAGGGACCACGAGUUUACACUGGACCUGGGAGCUGGGGCGGGAACGCGGAGAACUACAGACCGGGAGCUGGGGGCGGCAGCCCCGCACGGGGGCAAGGGGUGACACACAGAGAGAGAAGGGCCCACGGAUUCCCAAGGUGCCCCGGAUCCAGGGUGCUGAGAUGCAAAGAGGAGAGGGUAAGUGGGGUGGAAUGGAAGGAGGGGAAAGAGCUGGGAGCUAAGGUGAGAGCAGGGUGGGGCCAGGGGAGAAUGAAAACCCAGCCUGUUGGUGGUUUCUUCUUUUUUUUUUUUUAAGAGCCACAAGCUGAGAUCAAAGGUGAUAUUUUUACAGCAACUGAAAUAGAAAACCACUGGGCACACACUGGGAGGUGAGCAGCCGGCACACAGGCCCCUUUAUGCAGCCUGUGGCCACAGCAAGCACGCUGCCCUCUGC
rnacentral:lncRNA from 1 species